rnacentral:rRNA from 1 species
AUUGAACGCUGGCGGCAUGCUUUACACAUGCAAGUCGAACGGUAACAGGCCGCAAGGUGCUGACGAGUGGCGAACGGGUGAGUAAUGCAUCGGAACGUGCCCAGUCGUGGGGGGAUAACGCAGCGAAAGCUGCGCUAAUACCGCAUACGAUCUAUGGAUGAAAGCGGGGGACCGUAAGGCCUCGCGCGAUUGGAGCGGCCGAUGUCAGAUUAGGUAGUUGGUGGGGUAAAGGCCUACCAAGCCGACGAUCUGUAGCUGGUCUGAGAGGACGACCAGCCCAACUGGGACUGAGACACGGCCCAGACUCCUACGGGAGGCAGCAGUGGGGAAUUUUGGACAAUGGGCGCAAGCCUGAUCCAGCAAUGCCGCGUGCAGGAAGAAGGCCUUCGGGUUGUAAACUGCUUUUGUACGGAACGAAACGGUCUGGGUUAAUACCCUGGGCUAAUGACGGUACCGUAAGAAUAAGCACCGGCUAACUACGUGCCAGCCGCCGCAGUAACAC